UAACUCUCUAUUUAUAGACACACUAUAGUCAUCAAAACUUUUUUUUCUUAAUGAAACAGUGUUGCUGUAUAGAUCAUGCCCCUGCAGUUUCAUUGCUCAAUUAUCUGCCAUUUACGCGUUAAAUCACUUUGUUUAUGCAGUCCUAGUCACACCUCCCCUGCAUGCUACUACAGCCUUUCUAAACACUUCAUGUAAAGAGAGAUAUAAUAGUUAAACUACCUUUAUUGCACAUUUUGUUUAAUUUAGAAUGUAUCUCAUAAUUUAAAUUUACCUCAUGCUCUAUUGAUAGUCUUCUAGAACCUGCAGGAGUAAAAGUGAUUUAACUUUUACAUGUCAGAGAAUUGGGCAGUGAGACUACAG